rnacentral:rRNA from 1 species
GCAGGCUUCACGCUUGAAUACAUUAGCAUGGAAUAAUGAAAUAGGACUUUGGUUCUAUUUUGUUGGUUUCUAGGACUAAAGUAAUGGUUAAUAGGGAUAGUUGGGGGCAUUAGUAUUUAAUUGUCAGAGGUGAAAUUCUUGGAUUUAUGAAAGACUAACUUCUGCGAAAGCAUUUGCCAAGGAUGUUUUCAUUAAUCAAGAACGAAAGUCAGGGGAUCGAAAAGGAUUAGACACCCUUGUAGUCUUGACCAUAAACUAUGCCGACUCGGGAUUGGUAGAUGUUUAUAUUUUUGACUCUAUCAGCACCGUAUGAGAAAUCAAAGUCUUUGAGUUCUGGGGGGAGUAUGGUCGCAAGGCUGAAACUUAAAGGAAUUGACGGAAGGGCACCACCAGGAGUGGAGCCUGCG